rnacentral:rRNA from 1 species
UUUUUUGUGGAGAGUUUGAUCCUGGCUCAGGACGAACGCUGGCGGCGUGCUUAACACAUGCAAGUCGAACGGAAAGGCC